rnacentral:rRNA from 1 species
UGCUCAGGUGGACUUGUAAGUCAGAGGUGAAAUUCCAAAGCUUAACUUUGGAGCUGCCUUUGAUACUGCAAGUCUGGAGUUUGAGAGAGGGUAAUGGAAUAUCUGGUGUAGCAGUGAAAUGCGUAGAUAUCAGAUAGAACACCAAUGGCGAAGGCAGUUACCUGGCUCAAAACUGACGCUAAAGCACGAAAGUGUGGGGAGCAAACAGGAUUAGAUACCCUGGUAGUCCACACCCUAAACGAUGAAUACUAGAUGUUGGUCUUUUUUAAGAUCAGUAUCCAAGCUAACGCAUUAAGUAUUCCACCUGGGAAGUACAAUCGCAAGGUUGAA